UAAUGGGCCUUCCUUCCAUUUUGCAGAAAUCAGGAUGUGCCCAUUGCAUCCAAGGGAAAUACUUAAUUCAGACAUCUGAGUUACAUUUGUAGUACAUUUGGAGUCUGACAAUAACAGAACCCAAGGAAUGAUUUGCAGCUUUAAUGCAUGCCUGCAGGAUGGUGAAUAUGGAUGUUAAUAGAUAUGAAGUCUUGGCUACUCUAUUAGAUCAGAAUGUGGCAAAAC
rnacentral:lncRNA from 1 species